rnacentral:lncRNA from 1 species
UAUAUAUUAUACAACGGAUUAUAUUUCAGAAAUUCCUUAACUUUAAUCACAACUUGAUAUUUCUCGUUGCGUCUCGUUGUCCAUAAAUUUAUUUGAAAUUUUCGUGAAUUUAUCCUUUAAAAGUUCCUCGAAAAGCGAAAGAAAAGUUUGACAGACGUUUCUCGAAAGAUUGAACAAAUCAGACUUCGAACUUAAAUGUUUUCGAGUCUUCUAGAGGAACAAAUGGUUUCGAGUUGGGCAGCAGGAUCCUCUGAUUCCGUGAUCCUCAAAGUUUUACGUCACGGUUGAUAGUUUUGCACUCUUGAUUAAAGACGAUAUUGUCAGGCACAAUUCGCCUACUUGAAUCCCGCGCAAACUGCUCGCACAUCUCGCUUCUAAUUAAACGUAGAAAUUUGCUUUUCAAGUGUAGCGCAAUUAUAUUUUCAGAGAACGAGUAAACUUUCGUAUAUAGGUCACAUCAUUUUUCGUGUUUCUAACAUUUUUCUUCUUUCCAUCGCUGUACUUCUUUUUCGAUUAUCGUCCAUGCUUUUAAGCUCUUCACGAAAAUUUACCGCCUUCUCUGACAACUAGGUGAGUUUCGAAUACAUAUACGCAAAGUAUAUGAGCUCUUAUGUAGGUAGAUAGACUAUGUGAUCACGUAAAUAUGUCGCAUAAACACUCGAAUGAAACGUUAACAUUAAGUGGAUUCGACACGAGUGAUCUCGAUAUUUGAUCUCGAAAUUUACGCACCCUCUUUAAGAUUAUGCGCUCACCGUGUUGAAUAUUCAUGAUCAACCGGAAAUGGAAUGUAUUCAAGGCGUAAUUCCACCGUAAUUGGUUACCAGCCUUCUAAGUGAUAAAUACGCGUGCUCGUUCGUUGUUUUCUUACAUAGAAAAUUUGCCUAAAAUUAGCGAGAUCGAUACGGAAACGAUCGUGGGCUUUUGGAUAUCAAAAUCCGGAGCGAAGGUAAAUGUUGCCUACAUGAGAGAUAUAGUUGCUGGCUGGCAACAAUUCAAUGCGUACAAUUGACGUCACGCUCGCACUGUUUCGAAUUAAUGAAGCAGAACCUGUUCGAAGUUUAGUGGCUGAUAGCGUUCAAUCCACAAGAGGGAGAGGGAGAGAGGAAGGCAGAAACAGACAUAGAAAUUGCGACAACUUGUUUUUAUACAAAUGUAUAUAUAUUUUAAACAUAUGCAUUUCUAUUCAAGGGACUAGUACAAACCCCGCGACGAAAUACGUUUGACGCGCGACCUAUUUCGAGUUCGCGAUGCGACACGCUGCAGUUUUUGCGUGUGACUAACUUUCACCAGAAAUUGAACACGAAAACCCCUGGUUCAAAGGUGAGAUGAUAGUGUCACACGAAACGAGAAAAUUUCACGAUCAAAUUCUUUUUCGGUAAUCUUCUAGUUAUACGUGAUAUAAAUUAAUCCCUACUUAAAGGCAAGAAAUUAAAAACCAAAAAUUUAAAAAAAAUAAAAAUGACAAAAUAAAAAUUUCACGCUAUGGGAAAAUUUACGUUAAUCGUUUCGUUGUGAAUUCAAAAUAAAAUGCUGUGAAGAUAUUCGAUUUUUCUUUUUUUAUUUUUGCGAAGUUACAUACGUGUUACUUGUCGUAAUAUUUUAAUAAAUUAUUUUUAUUCGGUUUUAUCACGGUAUAUGAUAAAUUUACUACACGUGUAUAUUUCUGGUUCCAGUGAUAUUUUAUAUUACCUCAUCUUUCAAAUGAGAUUUCGUAUAAAAAGUUUUUAUAAAUAAAUUAAUUUCACGCUCGUAGAAAACGUUUCCUUCGUUAGCUUCGAAUAUAAAAACAAUAAGAAAACAUUCGUUUUAAUUCGUGUUGUGGAAUGUAAUUAUUAAUAAAUUAAACGAUAUUAGAUUCAUGUUUCCUAGCUAAUAAAAAUAUUAUAAAAAGUAAUAUUCAUGAAGAAAAUAUCUCCUAUAUUCCGAUGAUUCUUUUAAUAUCGAGACAAUUUCUUGAUUUACGAGGCAUGUCUCGUGAAAGACAGUAUCGUGAAACCAGUCGUUCAAUCAUACUUCGAUUUCCGUCCAUAUUGGAACACGGUUUCCGGAAGUGGCACGAAUCUGCCACGUCUUCGACACGAUAAAUGCAAAGUACGUACUAACGGCAACAGAAGGCGGGUUCUGGGGUUUCGAACGAUGUUCUGUGGGCUCUUUUUCCUCUCUGCG